rnacentral:rRNA from 1 species
UACGUAGGCAGCAAGCGUUGUUCGGAGUUACUGGGCGUAAAGGGUGUGUAGGCGGUUCCUUAAGUUUGCUGUGAAAUCUCCCGGCUUAACCGGGAGGGUGCGGUGAAUACUGAGGGACUAGAGUACGGGAGAGGAAAGUGGAAUUCCUGGUGUAGCGGUGAAAUGCGUAGAUAUCAGGAGGAAGACCAGUGGCGAAGGCGGGUCUCUGGACAGUUCCUGACACUGAGACACGAAGGCCAGGGGAGCAAACGGG